rnacentral:sRNA from 12 species
UCGCGCUUGUCGUCCGGCCGUCACGGCAGCCGGGCCAACGCGCAUAGAUAAUCUGGUCGCACCGCUGCCCCACAAGGGCACCGACAGGCGCAUCACAGAUAUCACCGAAUGACUUCGGAGUGAUCUGGCGCAGUUUCCCGGCUGAAUUCCAAAGGCCUCGGCCGGGCGACGUGAGUUGUGCGAUAUAGCG